rnacentral:misc_RNA from 1 species
AAGUCGUAAGGUUUCCGGAGGUGAACGUAUCCAACGUAAAAACAACCCCGUGAACCUUCAGACGUGCUCUCUUUAGCAAUCCCUGGUAAAUCAUUGUCAAACAGAUUUGAGUCAGGGACUUCUAUGGAGCAUCACGCGUAAGCGGCCUGGCACCCUAGCAAUCUGACAGUGGUUGCGCAAGGGUGGCGUAGUAAACGAUCGCUGGAGGCCCACACGGCCGGCGGACGGGCCCCUGUGCCUACCACGUAACAACCGCACCACCAACCGAACAACUGUUAACAAUGGAUAUCUUGGUUCUC